CCGAUCGUCGUCGGAGCCGGAGGUGUCAAAUUCGGAGAUAAACUUGGAAAGCCACAUCUAAACCUCCUCUCCGGAAUCGCACCGGAUAUCCGUAACUUACUGUGCGAGUCAAGCAUUGCCUACAAAUUGAAAGAAGAAGGUUGGUUGCUUGUGGAUUAUCACCAUUACCUCUCCGACACGAACUACGGCCGCUAUAAGUAAGGCUUUAGCUAUCUCAGAUGCUUUAAUCCUUCUUCUUCCCUGGCCCUCGUGCUUCAUCCGCCUACCGGAAUUGCAAAUCCACAACCUCAAUCUCCUCAUCGAGGCAGUGUUCUCUGCCCCUCCUCCUGUAGUCAGAGUUUCAACAAUCGUCGUUUUCCACAACGGCUUUCGAUUCAGCACGAUCCGAAUAUUCUGGCCGGAUCUAAAUUUCGUGCCGCCGCGAUCUGUACGGAAUUUCCGGUGGAGGCGGACAUCCGAUGGCGGUGGAAUACACGGGAGGGAGGUUUUAUGUGCUAUUCAAAUCGGAAAAUGUUUUGAAUUGGGAAAUUGAAAAUGGAAAGGGUUUAGGGUCAAUUAUGUGCUAUUCCUCUCCGUCAGUCUCCUCCAAAGAAAGGGUUUACCCAGGUUCACACAGAACAAAGAGUAAACCAGAGGAAAAGCUUUCCAACUUCAUCACCAUGAGGGACAAGGCAAGCUUCCGAUCUUCAAUCCAUGUUUCAUGUCUUCGAUCUCGUUAUCUCUCCCGUUUGAUUAUUUAUUGAUAAUCUGAUUCUUUUCUUAUGUACUUCUUUUGUUUUGCAGUGGAAGAAGAAGCGGAUGAGGAGAUUGAAGAGGAAGCGCCGAAAGAUGAGGCAGAGAUCCAAGUAGUCUGCCUCCUCAUCACUCGCAGAAUACGAGAUUAGCUUACCGUUCUAGGUGGAGUUUUCCUGUAUUUUAUUGUAUCCCACCGUCGCGAGACUUCGUCGAUCGUUUUGCCAGUAGCGGAUUGUUGUUUUGUUUGAAUUUUAACGUUUAAGUCGGAGACGGUGUUUUUUGCUACAAUAUAGCUUUUAGUACGUUGAUGGAUUUUUCAGCAAUGGAGCUGCCUAGUCUUUCGUUUAAAAGGAAGAUGCUUAUAGCCAAACAGUAAAUCACUCUGAAUCAGUGGCAGAUUAGGUGGUUUGUUUUUUAUAAUGAUCGGAGAGGUUUUUUUUUAAUAGCGGAGGAGGUUUAAUUUGAAUAAAUUUAGGUAAUUUAGUUAUUUUAUUUGUUGCUUUGUUCAAUCUCCUUCUUUUUUUGUAUGAACGGCUUGUUUAUCGUCAUUUGUGGAUACUGAUCAAGGUUUUUGUUCUUCAGCUUCUCCAUAAAACAUAAUUGCAGGUUGCAGUCCAGACCGACGCGGCCGGUGUUCUUCAGCAUUUUCAGAAGCAUCAUAAAU
rnacentral:lncRNA from 1 species